rnacentral:rRNA from 1 species
GAUGAACGCUGGCGGCGUGCCUAAUACAUGCAAGUCGAGCGAACGGACGAGAAGCUUGCUUCUCUGAUGUUAGCGGCGGACGGGUGAGUAACACGUGGAUAACCUACCUAUAAGACUGGGAUAACUUCGGGAAACCGGAGCUAAUACCGGAUGAUAUUUUGAACCGCAUGGUUCAAAAGUGAAAGACGGUCUUGCUGUCCCUUAUAGAUGGAUCCGCGCUGCAUUAGCUAGCUGGUAAGGUAACGGCUUACCAAGGCAACGAUGCAUAGCCGACCUGAGAGGGUGAUCGGCCACACUGGAACUGAGACACGGUCCAGACUCCUACGGGAGGCAGCAGUAGGGAAUCUUCAGCAAUGGGCGAAAGCCUGACGGAGCAACGCCGCGUGAGUGAUGAAGGUCUUCGGAUCGUAAAACUCUGUUAUUAGGGAAGAACAUAUGUGUAAGUAACUGUGCACAUCUUGACGGUACCUAAUCAGAAAGCCACGGCUAACUACGUG